GAUGAACGCUGGCGGCGUGCCUAAUACAUGCCAGUCGAGCGAACGGACGAGAAGCUUGCUUCUCUGAUGUUAGCGGCGGACGGGUGAGUAACACGUGGAUAACCUACCUAUAAGACUGGGAUAACUUCGGGAAACCGGAGCUAAUACCGGAUAAUAUUUUGAACCGCAUGGUUCAAAGGUGAAAGACGGUCUUGCUGUCACUUAUAGAUGGAUCCGCGCUGCAUUAGCUAGUUGGUAAGGUAACGGCUUACCAAGGCAACGAUGCAUAGCCGACCUGAGAGGGUGAUCGGCCACACUGGAACUGAGACACGGUCCAGACUCCUACGGGAGGCAGCAGUAGGGAAUCUUCCGCAAUGGGCGAAAGCCUGACGGAGCAACGCCGCGUGAGUGAUGAAGGUCUUCGGAUCGUAAAACUCUGUUAUUAGGGAAGAGCAUAUGUGUAAGUAACUGUGCACAUCUUGACGGUACCUAAUCAGAAAGCCACGGCUAACUACGUG
rnacentral:rRNA from 1 species